GUGCUCGACUCAGCAGCACACAUACUAAAAUUGGAACGAUAUAGAGAUUAGCAUGGCCCCUACGCAAGGAUGACACACAAAUUAGUGAAGCGUUCUACAUUAAA
ensembl:snRNA U6 U6 spliceosomal RNA